rnacentral:sRNA from 1 species
GGAUUCUGAAACAUUUUCUUGACUGCAGUGUCAUCUGCAAAGCAGUCUACAUUAAUAGCUUUUACGUGGACAAGCCUGUCUAAACUCCCAUGUAGGCCGCUGGAGAAACAGUAGUUCUUACAUUUACGCACGUAGCUGAGGUCCAUUUCAGAGAUGCCGGUACCUUAGUUCAUUAGUUAACCUCUCCUCGAAUUAUACUGACCACUUGCAAUUGUUGGAAUUUACGCAUGCCUUCUAAAUUACCCUGUUCAAACUCAAACUCCAGUGUAACAGUGUAGUAGGUGGUCUCACUCGAAACGGUUAGCAGAAGGCUGCUUUUGACCUACAAAGUGAUUCCGAUUCCAGAAAAGACUUGCAAAACCAGGGAAUUCUUCCUCCUGUUUUCUGUUUCUGCUGUGGGGAAUGGGGACGGGUCACCAAGCCACAGUUUGAAGGAGAUUUUUAUUUUCCCAGGACUAGGGCUGACAGGCUCUCUCUUGAUUGGCCCUUAUUCUAUGCCUCAUUUGCAAGAAGCAUACUCAGCCAAUCAGAGCCUACUUGAAUCUACCUAAAUCCUUGGGGGCUUAGCCUAGUCACCAGUUUGGUUCCUGGUUUCUGGCUGCUGUCUUCUGGCAAAGCACUUCGGACUUCGGAAUCAGCCUCUUUGGACCAUCAGAGGGAAGACUGCUCCUGCCUUUGAGAUCUGUCAGAGGCUGGCCACUGGAGACCUUCUGAGUACCUUUCAUUUUCAGCACUGUCCCGAGCUGAAUCAUAUGUUGUUCUGCUAUUUAUUUGCAACUCAUGGGAUGUUGGAGAACACUGGACAGCAGCUGAAGAUGGAAUUUACAUAUGGGAGCUCUGUCGGGGAGACUCAAACCAUCUCCUUGCUCACUCUGUCUGGUCUUGGAAGAAACAGGGAAUAGGUAUAUUGAACUUUUUCCAGGUUCAUCUGUGCACUCACACAGUGCCUUGGGAAAAUCUAAGUUAUAUUGUCAGAAGCCACGUAACCAUAGAAAGGUAAGAGAGAGAACUGGAACAGACCCAUCCCUAUGUCGUGAAAGACGCCAUGCCUUCUAAUAAUUUGUUCCCUGACUUCUGGACUCUGAAACAGUGGGAUGAUCAACAUCUGUGGCUAAACUUCUCAGUUUAUGGUAUUUGUCACCAUGGUUCCAAAGCCACAAAUACAGACUCCCAUGGAAUCUCCAGCUAGAGCCUCCAGCCUUCCCAUCUUCCUAAGAGGGUCAGGAGGGGACGUGUAGACACACAUAAGGAAGGUAGAAGGAUAUGAAAGGAAUAGUGUGGGGUAAAAUUGAACAGGCUGUGUCUGACAGACAGUAGGCUCCUGGUAUGAGAAAGCCUGUUGCGGGGUAUGGAAUGAGGCAUCCAGAGGAAGCUGGAUGAGGUUCUAAAACUGUGAGCACCAAGUAAGAACUGAGGAGGUGAGAUUUGGGUGUUCCUCAGAGGUGUUAAAAGGACAGAGACAGCAUCAUUCAGGAAAUGUGGAGGUUGGCAUAGAUCUUUCUAGUGACCGAGGUACCUUGAUUCCACUUUGAUAUUAGUUCAAUUACUGACAUAUAAUAGGAUCAAGAAAUUUAAUGAUUUCAUAUCAAAAGUAGAACAUGUGCUGAUGUGGUUUGGCGACAAAGAAGUGAAGACUUAGGGCCUUCUCUCCAGCUGUAGUCUCAGCUAUGCAACUUUCAUAAUAUUGGAUGUUGGACCUCAUUUAUUGUAGAUUUAUUUUGGGUCAUUUUGUUCUUUAAUGGGUUUUCUCCCUCAUAUCUUUGAUCCAUAUUCAACAAAGUAGAGACUUUGAAUUUGCUUAUUUUGGGGAAGAUGUGUUACCUCUUAUCACAUUCUUUUUAAUACCAGAACUUCAUGCCUGUUGCUGUUCUAAAGAGUAUGUGUUGUGUUUUUCCAUUGGAGUUAAAUCCUUACAUUGAAAACACACCUUUAAAUGAUCAAUUUAUGGAUACCCUAGAAGUAUAUAUGCUAAAAUGUCAGGCAGGUAAUGUAAAGAAAAUAUAUUAAAUGAUCACAGGGAAAGUCAGAGUGUAUUAUUUCUUAUAGUAUAUAAUAAAAUAUUCCACUGUAGAAUUUGUUUGCUGCAAAAUUUUACUGCAAACAAUGGGCAGAGAGGAAGGGAAACUGGAGGAUUAACUUGUGUCUGCGAUAUGCAUGUCUAGGUUAGGGCCUUGAAAGAUUAGAAUGUUACACUUACUGAAGGUCAGAAACGAAGAGGGAGAAGACAAGGACUCAAUGGGGCUUAUUCUCCAGAUAUGGGGAAAAAGUCAGUCAAUAGGUGGAAGACUAAAGAGGACUAUGGACCAUGGAAGUUAGGCAGGAAAGAGACCAUAUAGCACAAACCGGUGAAUGUUGUGUUUGAACAGUUGUCAGUCAUGCUACGCUACAUUUUCUCUGCACAUUUGAAAGUACCAUCUAGAAAACACUGAUUUCCCUAAUAAGUUUCAAUAGCAGUUUUUACGCACCCACAAGGCUAGGCAGAGCCAUCGUUGUUAGACGGCUUCCUGAUUACCUGUCAAUCACAAGUGGCCCAGUGGUAGAAGAACGUCAGGACAUCUUUCUCUUCCUUCUCAGCUAACUUCUGUGCUGUCCCCCAUGGGACAGCCACCUGGAACACCAGCUCUCCUACAACAAGGUCUGCUGAGCCCUCCCAACCUCAUGGAAAUGGGAAAGA